rnacentral:rRNA from 1 species
GAGUUUGAUCGUGGCUCAGGAUGAACGCUAGCGGCAGGCCUAAUACAUGCAAGUCGAACGGGAUUAGGGAGCUUGCUCCCUAUGAGAGUGGCGCACGGGUGCGUAACGCGUAUGCAAUCUGCCUUUAACCGGGGGAUAGCUCACCGAAAGGUGAAUUAAUACCGCAUAACAUUAUUGAAUGGCAUCAUUUAAUAAUCGAAACUACGGUGGUUAAAGAUGAGCAUGCGUGUCAUUAGUUAGUUGGCGGGGUAACGGCUCACCAAGACUACGAUGACUAGGGGAUCUGAGAGGAUGACCCCCCACACUGGUACUGAGACACGGACCAGACUCCUACGGGAGGCAGCAGUAAGGAAUAUUGGACAAUGGAGGCAACUCUGAUCCACGCCAUGCCGCGUGCAGGAAGACGGCCCUAUGGGUUGUAAACUGCUUUUAUCAGGGAAGAACUAUUCUUACGUGUAAGAAGUUGACGGUACCUGAGGAAUAAGGA